rnacentral:misc_RNA from 1 species
GAUGAAGAACGUAGCGAAAUGCGAUACUUGGUGUGAAUUGCAGAAUCCCGUGAACCAUCGAGUCUUUGAACGCAAGUUGCGCCCGACGCCAUUAGGCCGAGGGCACGCCUGCCUGGGCGUCACACGUCGUUGCCCCCCCAUCUACUCCUUCGGGAUUGCGGGGGGCGGAUGAUGGCCUCCCGUGCGCCUCGUCGCGCGGUUGGCAUAAAUGCCAAGUCCUCGGCGACGCACGCCACGACAAUCGGUGGUUGCGAAACCUCGGUUGCCCGUCGUGUGCGGUCGUCGCGCAUCGAGGGCUCGAAAAAAUUGUCGGGCUCCGGCUCGGCUUUCAACGCGACCCCAGGUCAGGCGGGGUUACCCGCUGAAUUUAAGCAUAUCAAUAAGCGGAGGA